CAUCACUCCGAAAAGUUAGAGGUGCGUGCCCGGGAUCGAACCCCCGACCCCCAAUUAGGAGGCAGACGUUCUAAAUAGGAUAUCACAGCUUAUAUUAUAUCAGUAAAGAAUUUU